UACAGAGACCUCGAGCGUUAUCCGGAUUGAUUGGGCGUAAAGAGUGCGCAGGCGGCUUUUUAAGCCGGCGGUUAAAUUUUCCAGCUUAACUGGGAAACCGCCGCCGGAACUGGGAAGCUAGAGUGUGGAAGGGGUGAGCGGAAUUGCCGGUGUAACGGUAAAAUGUGUUAAUAUCGGCAAGAACACCAGAGGCGUAGGCGGCUCACUAGUACAUCACUGACGCUGUUGCACGAAAGCGCGGGUAG
rnacentral:rRNA from 1 species